AUUGAACGCUGGCGGCAGGCUUAACACAUGCAAGUCGAGCGGAGACUUCGGUCUUAGCGGCGAACGGGUGAGUAAUACCUAGGAAUCUGCCUAUUAGUGGGGGAUAACGAAUCGAAAGGUUCGCUAAUACCGCAUACGUCCUACGGGAGAAAGAGGGGGAUCUUCGGACCUCUUGCUAAUAGAUGAGCCUAGGCCGGAUUAGCUAGUCGGUAGGGUAAAGGCCUACCAAGGCGACGAUCUGUAGCUGGUCUGAGAGGAUGGCCAGCCGACACUGGAACUGAGACACGGUCCAGACUCCUACGGAAGGCAGCAGUGGGGAAUAUUGGACAAUAGGGGCGAACCCUCGAUCCACGCCAUGCCG
rnacentral:rRNA from 1 species